rnacentral:pre_miRNA from 1 species
AUCAAAUGCAUCAUUGAGUGCAGCGUUGAUGAACAACGGCACGUAACCGGUCCAUGUUCAGGCUCAUCUGGUCGGUCAUCAGAUGAUCACCCGCGCUGCACUCAAUCAUGCGUUUG